CUUAAUCUAUCUUAUGGCUAUACGGUACCCAGCCUAGCUUGGGGCCCAUAACAUUUUUCUAUGUUCAUUUAAAUCAAUCUGCACUGUUUCUGCUCUGGAUCUCAAGGCCACUUCACUCCGAAGACCUGAGUUGGACCUCCAUGCGAUAAGGUCUCGGAGACAAAGUGACACCAUAGACAGGAGUGAAGUCUGGUUUUCCUGCAUCCUCAGGCCAGAUGAACUUAAACUUCCUCAGCAGAGUCACCAUGAUGAGGAAGAGCUCCAUACGAGCCAGACCCUCUCCCAGACACAUCCGAGGACCUGA